GGCUGAGAGAGGAGGAUGCCUGAAUGUGACUCCUCCUUUCAGGCUCACCACUGCACCCCACCGAGACAGGACUCAGAGACAGCUGCCUAUUACCACAAGCCCCAUUGGGUAGCACUAGAUUUUAUUCUGACUCCAGUAGAAGGGGCUCUUCAUUGGGAUUCCAAAGGAGCUACCAUCUGCCAGUGUAUGACUUUCAUACUCAAGGUUGCUUCAUGGUCCAGGAUAGCUGUUAGUAUUUUGGUAAUUACAUGCAUACUUUUACAUGGAAUAAGGAAAGAAAGCAGAAGGGCAAGAGGAUAUGGGCUCCAUCCUGGUCAGCUUCUUCAAUGGACCUUUCUGGAAAUACCAUACAACACUUUGGCCAACAGUUCUUGGACUGAGGCUUAGCCAUAUAGAAG
rnacentral:lncRNA from 1 species